GCCUAAUAAUGUGAGUCGAGCGGACCGACGGGAGCUUGCUCCCUUAGGUCAGCGGCGGACGGGUGAGUAACACGUGGGUAACCUGCCUGUAAGACUGGGAUAACUCCGGGAAACCGGGGCUAAUACCGGAUGCUUGAUUGAACCGCAUGGUUCAAUCAUAAAAGGUGGCUUUUAGCUACCACUUGCAGAUGGACCCGCGGCGCAUUAGCUAGUUGGUGAGGUAACGGCUCACCAAGGCGACGAUGCGUAGCCGACCUGAGAGGGUGAUCGGCCACACUGGGACUGAGACACGGCCCAGACUCCUACGGGAGGCAGCAGUAGGGAAUCUUCCGCAAUGGACGAAAGUCUGACGGAGCAACGCCGCGUGAGUGAUGAAGGUUUUCGGAUCGUAAAACUCUGUUGUUAGGGAAGAACAAGUACCGUUCGAAUAGGGCGGCACCUUGACGGUACCUAACCAGAAAGCCACGGCUAACUACGUGCCAGCAGCCGCGGUAAUACGUAGGUGGCAAGCGUUGUCCGGAAUUAUUGGGCGUAAAGCGCGCGCAGGCGGUUUCUUAAGUCUGAUGUGAAAGCCCCCGGCUCAACCGGGGAGGGUCAUUGGAAACUGGGGAACUUGAGUGCAGAAGAGGAGAGUGGAAUUCCACGUGUAGCGGUGAAAUGCGUAGAGAUGUGGAGGAACACCAGUGGCGAAGGCGACUCUCUGGUCUGUAACUGACGCUGAGGCGCGAAAGCGUGGGGAGCGAACAGGAUUAGAUACCCUGGUAGUCCACGCCGUAAACGAUGAGUGCUAAGUGUUAGAGGGUUUCCGCCCUUUAGUGCUGCAGCAAACGCAUUAAGCACUCCGCCUGGGGAGUACGGUCGCAAGACUGAAACUCAAAGGAAUUGACGGGGGCCCGCACAAGCGGUGGAGCAUGUGGUUUAAUUCGAAGCAACGC
rnacentral:rRNA from 1 species